rnacentral:rRNA from 1 species
GACGAACGCUGGCGGCGUGCCUAAUACAUGCAAGUAGAACGCUGAAGGAGGAGCUUGCUCUUCUGGAUGAGUUGCGAACGGGUGAGUAACGCGUAGGUAACCUGCCUGGUAGCGGGGGAUAACUAUUGGAAACGAUAGCUAAUACCGCAUAAGAGUAGAUGUUGCAUGACAUUUACUUAAAAGGUGCAAUUGCAUCACUACCAGAUGGACCUGCGUUGUAUUAGCUAGUUGGUGGGGUAACGGCUUACCAAGGCGACGAUACAUAGCCGACCUGAGAGGGUGAUCGGCCACACUGGGACUGAGACACGGCCCAGACUCCUACGGGAGGCAGCAGUAGGGAAGCUUCGGCAAUGGACGGAAGUCUGACCGAGCAACGCCGCGUGAGUGAAGAAGGGUUUCGGAUCGGAAAGCUCUGUUGUAAGAGAAGAACGAGUGUGAGAGUGGAAAGUUCACACUGUGACGGUAUCUUACCAGAAAGGGACGGCUAACUACGUG